rnacentral:misc_RNA from 1 species
CGUGUCGACGAAGAUCGUCCCGCGCCGUCGACCGGAGGCGGUGCCGUACUCCUCGUGACCAUUGACCAGCAGCGGUUGGGCCGGAGCCAUAAGGCAGCAGUGGAAGGUGAGUCGGUGUGAGCCCGUCUUGCAUUGACAGCUUAUAGCCCUGUCUGUACGGUGCUCCGGCGUGACCGAGGAAGCCGGGCAGCCCUUGCCCAUUGUGGUGCACGCCGAAUGGCGGGGCCUCCCGACAGGAGCAAACCGUGCGGUGUGGACUGCAUGCAGUGCUCACUGUUGCGGUGAACUCGUGCCGGAGAGUGCCACUGGUGUGCCAGUGCUGCUGGUGUUCAGAU